UUCACAUUGCAUGGCCGGUGGAGUCUCCAAAACUGCUCAUUAAAGCUUCCAAGACUUUUCAGCUAAUCAAAGCAAUUUUUAAUAGCUCAUCAAUUGUUGGCCGAACUUAGCUUGUCCCAUUCAGCUCCCAAUGUAGCUCAUUACUUUCCAGCUGAUUCCAAGGCCUCUAGAAGCUGGCUGUUGACGUCCCCAACACACAAGAAGCUACCUGGAAUUUUCCUUUAACUUUCAGUUCAUUAAGGCUGAACCGAAUUGACCAUUCAUGUUCUCUAAUGACUAUUCGGCUAGCCUUUGUUUUUGGCUAUAAAUAGUUGUUUUGUAAUCAUUUUUAGGUUAGACAAUAUAUUUCUAAAACUUAUAUGAAAUUUGUUUACUUUGUGAGUUUGUGUUCAACUCUCAUUGUUCUUCAAGGACUGGUUAGACUUAUCAAGUAACCCUUGUGGCGUCAACCCGUUUUUGUAUUUCGAACUUAUCACUUUGCACCCAAAGUGUGGCGUUCAAGUUAUACCGAGGUUCCUAUCAAUAUUGAUAGUGGGUCGAGGUUGCGUUUCUAUUACCUACCUUCCUAACCGUUACCAUCUCAACCUAAGCAUUCGUAUAAGUUUCGGGAUAAC
rnacentral:lncRNA from 1 species